GCAAGUCGAACGGUAGCAGCAGAGCUUGCUCCGGUGGAUUAGUGGCGAACGGGUGAGUAACACGUGAGAAAUCUGCCCCUGACUCUGGGAUAACUGCGGGAAACUGUAGCUAAUACCGGAUACUUUCCCUGGUGGGCAUCCACUGGGGAAGAAAGAAUUUCGGUCAGGGAGGAUCUCGCGGCCUAUCAGCUAGUUGGUGAGGUAACGGCUCACCAAGGCGACGACGGGUAACCGGCCUGAGAGGGUGACC
rnacentral:rRNA from 1 species